rnacentral:rRNA from 1 species
UACGUAGGUGGCAAGCGUUAUCCGGAAUUAUUGGGCGUAAAGCGCGCGCAGGUGGUUUCUUAAGUCUGAUGUGAAAGCCCAUGGCUCAACCGUGGAGGGUCAUUGGAAACUGGGAGACUUGAGUGCAGAAGAGGAAAGUGGAAUUCCAUGUGUAGCGGUGAAAUGCGUAGAGAUAUGGAGGAACACCAGUGGCGAAGGCGACUUUCUGGUCUGUAACUGACACUGAGGCGCGAAAGCGUGGGGAGCAAACAGG